GACAGAGUGAGGGAGGGAGUGGGUGACCAGUGACAGAGGGAGGGGGUGACACAGUGAGGGAGGUGGUGACUGUCACUAGUCACCACCUCCCUCACUCUGUCCCUAGUCACCCCUCCCUCUGUCACUAGUCACCCCCUUCCCUCCCUAACGCU
rnacentral:miRNA from 1 species